CAGGCUUGCUCGAUGCGCUCCAGGACCACACUGUCCCACUGUUUUUUGGCCAGGGUGAACUGGCGGUUGGGCUCCAGCUCGAUGGUGUGUCUUGAGGCGCGCCGCGCAAAAUCAGCUCGAGAGACACCGCUGCGAACACCUUUCUCUCCGCGGUUCCGGCUGCUGUACUGACCAAGGCUGAUACAACGAGGGCGCAUGCGCAGCCCGCGUCCUGCCUCCCAGCGCGCUGCUUACGUCCCUUAGGAGGAGGCGGGGCCGCAGCUUGCGCGUGCGCAGGCGCGCUAAGCCCGGAGGUGUUUCCCGAAAAAUAAACCACCUAAGGAAAGCA